UACGAAGGGGGCUAGCGUUGCUCGGAUUGACUGGGCGUAAAGGGCGCGUAGGCGGUUCGUACAGUCAGACGUGAAAUUCCUGGGCUCAACCUGGGGGCUGCGUUUGAUACGUGCGGACUUGAGUGCGGAAGAGGGUCGUGGAAUUCCCAGUGUAGAGGUGAAAUUCGUAGAUAUUGGGAAGAACACCGGUGGCGAAGGCGGCGACCUGGUCCGAUACUGACGCUGAGGAGCGAAAGCGUAGGGAGCGAACAGG
rnacentral:rRNA from 1 species